rnacentral:rRNA from 1 species
GACGAACGCUGGCGGCGUGCUUAACACAUGCAAGUCGAACGAAGUGGCGAACGGGUGAGUAACGCGUAAUCAACCUGCCCUUCCGCGGGGGACAACAGUUGGCAACGACUGCUAAUACCUCAUACUGAAGGAGGGGAUUGCGUCUGAUUAGCUAGUUGGGGGGGUAACGGCCCACCAAGGCGAUGAUCAGUAGCCGGUCUGGGAGGAUGAACGGCCACAUUGGGAAGGAGACAAGGGCCAGACGCCUACGGGAGGCAGCAGUGGGGAAUCUUCCGCAAUGGACGAAAGUCUGACGGAGCAACGCCGCGUGAGUGAUGACGGCCUUCGGGUGGUAAAGCUCUGUUAAUCGGGACGCGGUACCGGAAUAGAAAGCCACGGCUAACUACGUGCCAGCAGCCGCGGUAAUUC